rnacentral:rRNA from 1 species
CAGUAGCCGCGGUAAAACGAAGGGGGCUAGCGUUGCUCGGAAUUACUGGGCGUAAAGGGAGCGUAGGCGGGUCGUUUAGUCAGAGGUGAAAUCCCGGGGCUCAACCUGGGGGCUGCGUUUGAUACUUGGUUGCUUGAGUGGGGAAGAGGGUCGUGGAAUUCCCAGUGUAGAGGUGAAAUUCGUAGAUAUUGGGAAGAACACCGGUGGCGAAGGCGGCGACCUGGUCCUUUACUGACGCUGAGGCGCGAGAGCUAGGGGAGCAAACAGGAUUAGAUACCCCAGUAGUCCCUGUCUCUUAUAC